CUGCUGCACCACAUUUCGGAUCAGAACAUCUAGAUCCAUCAAAACAAGAGGAUAUGAAAAGACACAUGAGACAAAAUGAGAAAAAAGGCCAGAUAAUCUACAGAGUCAUAACUUUUCUUGAGCCCUUCAGAGAGCUGGAGUCGCAAGGCAGCCAACUGAACUGAAACCUAAAGGAUGACAAGAUCUUCUGAGAAAGACAGAACCACCCACUCCUGCACCUCUGGCAGAACCCUGGAGGGAGAGUGGGCUGCCAUAACAGACAGCUAACACUGCAAUGAAUUCUUAAAGGCUGAGUGUGCAAAGGCUUUACAGCUGAGCCAUCCCAGGAGCCCCCACACUUAAAAGGAGUUCACGUUCCUUCAUCAGCUGCUUCCGGUAAAGCUCAGGA
rnacentral:lncRNA from 1 species